GUAUUUUAUAAAACUUACUCGCUGGAGGUGGAAAUGCUUGGCUCACCAGUCAUGAUGAUACUGUACACAUGUCGAUCGUUAUACUUCAACUUUUUUGUGUACAAAAUUAUUGAAGUCGGCAGCAGGAUAAAAAAUACGAAACAACUUACCCACUCACUCCUGAACAAAGCGAAUAUUUUAUGUAGCAGAGCCACUGAUCAUAUAGAGAUAAAAAACUUCAGUUAUCAACUCAGUCACUCUAACGUUGAAAUUACUUGCGGACUUUUUCCGGUCGACUGGACGAUUUUAUAUACUGUUGCAUCAGCGAUGGGAACUUAUUUGCUCUGGUUCAUACAAUUCGAUUCGAUUGGUACAAAGGGUACAGUUAAUUAAAAGUUCUGGAUUUUACUGUUAA